GACAGAGGGUGCAAACGUUGUUCGGAUUUACUGGGCGUAAAGCGCGUGUAGGCGGCUUUGCAAGUCGGAUGUGAAACGCCCACGGCUCAACCGUGGAAGUGCAUCCGAAACUGCAUGGCUGGAGUCUCGGAGAGGAAGGUGGGAAUGCUUGGUGUAGAGGUGAAAUUCGUAGAUAUCAAGCAGAACACCUGCGGCGAAGGCGGCCUUCUGGACGAUGACUGACGCUGGAGAACGCGAAAGCGUGGGGAGCAAACAGG
rnacentral:rRNA from 1 species